GUGUCGAAAUAUACCCUCCCCCGUGUGUGUGUGUGUGUGUGUGUGUGUGUGUGUGUGUGUGUGUGAGAUAUCAAGAAGUAGGGGUCCUUGUAUUUAAAUGGAGUAUAAGAUUGGAGAAAGAGGUUGGUAAGGAGAGAGAAUAAUGAAAGGAAGGAAAGAAAAUGGUGAGGGACGGAGAAGGGGAGGAGAAGGAAGAUGGGGAGAAGGAGAGAAAAGUGAGGGGAAAACGAUGGUGAAAGCGAGAGAAUGGUAAGUAAGGUAGGGAGGGUGACUGGGGAGCAGGGGAAGAUGGGUAGAAACGAGGAGAGUGAGGGAGAGUGGAAGGUUUUAAUAAGAGAUAGGUAAAGAGGAGAGGGCAGGCGAUGAAAAGGGAGAGUUGUGAAGGGAGGAAAGGAAAGGAAAGGAAAAUAGAGGCUGGGUAGGAAAGGGGAAGGAAGGAAGAAAGGGAACGGAACGGAACAGAAAGGAAAGGAAAGGAAGAGAAGGGAAAAGAAAAGAAAAGGAAAGAAAAUUGAAGGAGAAUGGGAAGAUAGGAAAUAUAGUAACGGAUAAAAAAAAAUCAUAUUUUCUCAUAUAUUAACACCUGAAUUAUACACGAUCGCUACCUGAAUUUUUUAUCCCGCCAGGUAAGAAAUAUUCUCACCUGUCCAACCCAAUAACAAUUAAAAAGUCGGUUGUGUUCGCUAGAAAAUGAAUGGGGAUUAAACCAGUUUCUUGUAUAUUUAAAGCAGUUCCCUGAUGACUUGUUAAUGAAUGGAGGAACAGGUAGGAGAAGAGAUUAAGGAAAGUGUAGAUAAGGUACCCGUAUUAAUGAGUAAGGAACAGGUAGGGACAUAGUGUAAGAUAAGAUCAGGUAAGGUAAGGUAAGGUAAGUGGGCCGAGGAACAAGUAGGAGCAGAGGUUGAGGUAAGGUUAGACUAUGUAAGGUAAGGCUAACGAGUGAGGAAUAAGGAAAAGAGAAGGUUGGGUAAGUAAGGAAAGGUCAGUAAGAGGAGGAAAAGAUAGAUGUUAAGGUAAGAUUUUGUAAAGUAAGGUAAGCUUAAUGAAUGGAGGUAUAGGUAAUAAAGGUUAAGGUAAGGUUAAUCAGGUAAAAUAAGGUUAAUUAGAUGAGGAACAGAUUAGAACAGAGGUCAGUGUAAGAUUAGGAUAGGUAAGGAAAGGCUAAUAAGCGAAUGAACGGGUGGGAACAGAUGUUAAGAUAAGGGAAGGUAAGAAUAGGUAAGGUAAGGUAAGGUAAGGUUAAUGAGCUGAAUAGUAGGUAGGUAGAAGAGGUUAAGGUGACAUUAGGUAAAGCAAGGUAAGGUUAGGUUAGGUAAGGCAAGGUGAAGUUAGUUAAGAAGAAGAAGGAGGAAGUAGGGAAGGAAAAAGAAGAGGAGGUAGAGGAGGAGGAAGCGAAUGAGGUUAGGAAGGAGGAAGAGGAGGAGAUAAGGAACGACGAAGAGAAGAAAGAAGAGCAGGUAGGGAAGGAGGAAGAGAAGGAACUAACUAACGGGGCAAAGGUUCAGGUGUGACACAGGUAAACUUCACGUUGAUUCUUGCUUAUUAAUCAUUCCCCAGGUGAGGUUAGGCUCGGGUGAGGUGGGAUUCGGUCGGUUAAAGUUUGGUGAGACAGUUUUGCUUCAUUUCUGGUUGUGGUGAUGAAGAGAAAAGUUUUGUAGUGAUGGUGGUGAUGAGGAUGAAGAGAAAUGGUGGUGGUGAUAGUGGUGAUGUUGGUUAGUGGUUUUGGUGAGAAAGAAAGAAAAAUAUAAUAAAAAAAAAUGAAUAAGUAAGUAGACUGAUAGAUUUGAUUGUCAGAGAUACAUGUUGGUAGAUAGAUAGAUAGAUACAUAGAUAGAUUGAUGAGGAGAAAUGGUGGUGGUGAUAGUGGUGAUGUUGGUAAGUGGUUUUGGUGAGAAAGAAAGAAAAAGAUGAGAAAAAAAGAUGAAUGAGUAAGUAGAUUGAUAGAUAGAUUGUCAGAGAUACACGUAGGUAGAUAGGUAGAUACAUAGAUUGAUAGAUAAAUACAUAGACAGACAGAUAGAUAGAUAGAUAGGCAGGUAGGUAGAUAGAAAGAUAGACAGGUAAAUAGAGAUAGAUAGAAGGACGGAAGUGAAGUUAGAAGACCAAGAGCGAAACGAAUCAAAAUAUAACAGACAGACAGACAAACAAAAUAAAAAUCACGGAAGCAAAGUUAAGAAGAAUAAGGAAAAAAGAAACAAAUAAAAAAGUUAAGGAGAUGGAUAGACAAAAUAAAAUGAAGGCGGAAGUGAAAAGUUAACGAAGAAGAAAGAACGAACGAAACAAAAAAAGAAGUAAGAUAGAUAGACUGACAAAAAAAAGACGGAAAUAAAAAGUUACCGUAGAAGAAUGAAAGAACGAAACUAAUAAAAAAAAAAAGAGAUAGAUACGGACAAAAUAAAAAGUAAAAAAAAAAAAAACGGAAGCAUAAAAGUUAACGGACGAGAGACAGAAUGAAAAAAAGAAAAAGAAAAUGUAAGAGAUGGAAAUAGAUAGGCAGACAAAAUAAAAAAGUAAACAAACAAAACAAGGAAAAAGUUAACGUAGGAGAAAGAAAGAAGUAAACAAAAAAAAGUAAAAGAACGAAUUAGAGAGACAGACAAAAUAAAUAAAGAUGGAAGCAAAAAAA